AUUGAACGCUGGCGGCAGGCUUAACACAUGCAAGUCGAGCGGAGAUGAGGUGCUUGCACCUUAUCUUAGCGGCGGACGGGUGAGUAAUGCUUAGGAAUCUGCCUAUUAGUGGGGGACAACAUUCCGAAAGGAAUGCUAAUACCGCAUACGUCCUACGGGAGAAAGCAGGGGAUCUUCGGACCUUGCGCUAAUAGAUGAGCCUAAGUCGGAUUAGCUAGCUGGUGGGGUAAAGGCCUACCAAGGCGACGAUCUGUAGCGGGUCUGAGAGGAUGAUCCGCCACACUGGGACUGAGACACGGCCCAGACUCCUAUGGGAGGCAGCAGUGGGGAAUAUUGGACAAUGGGGGGAACCCUGAUCCAGCCAUGCCGCGUGUGUGAAGAAGGCCUUAUGGUUGUAAAGCACUUUAAGCGAGGAGGAGGCUACUGAGACUAAUACUCUUGGAUAGUGGACGUUACUCGCAGAAUAAGCACCGGCUAACUCUGUGCCAGCCGCCGCAGUAACAC
rnacentral:rRNA from 1 species